GACGCCAUAACCGAGCGGAGAUGGUAACAGACACGAAAUCUGUUUGUUUCCCUCUGAGAGUGCAGACAAGAAAUCUGCUUACCUUUGGGAGUGUAGGUUCGAAUCCUGCUGGUGUUC